GCUGCCCGUUUAGGGUUGUGACCCAGGAGUCGCUGUGGUUAUCAACUGCGAGAGCUCAAACGGACACAUGAAAAGCAGCUUUGUUUAGCGUCCUUGACAUAACUAACCACAUAUUAACAACAGAGCCUUGUGGUAUAGAGGCUCCUGUUUGUUCAGAAUCUUAAUAGGUGGGCUUUGUGCACAUGGAUUUCUAAUACUGCUUACCCUGUAUUUUAAGUCAAAGAGGGUCUUUGUGUGAAGGAUUCUCCACCUCCUUUUCCCUUUCUACAAAGGAG
rnacentral:lncRNA from 1 species